GAGAGGCCAGAAAAGCUGAUUUCUUUCCCUUAUCUAUCCUGGGAGGCUCAGAGAGCAAGAUCAGCCUUCCAGAGCGGCACCACGCUGGGCAGUGUGUGGGACUGCAGGAGUCAGCAGAGAUGUGUGUAUGUGUGAUGGAAUCCAGUUCCUCAGAUGUGCAAGGGAAAUGCUCUCCCACCAAACCACACCCCUGCCUUCAACACUAAUGCAGAGCUGUGUGUCCCUUCCAAGAGCUCAUUGCUGCUUUCCACAAAGCUGUCUACAAGGAAGCAUAUAAAAGAGACAGGGUCUCACUAAAUAGUUCUGGUUGUCCCUGUACCCACUAUGUAUAUCAGAAUGACUUCAAACUCACAGAGAUCCACCUGCUUCUGUCUCCUAAAAGAAGUCAUGUGCACCUCAUUGCUGAUAGAAGGUGAAUCAAAGGAGGGGACCCAAGCGACCAUCACUUCAGGCUGGAGUGUUCAGUGAGCUGGACUAGCUAGGACAAAGCAGUCUCCUGUGACAUCUGCUGUCUUCCCAAGGUGUGAGCCAGCAGAGCCCACCCCUCUGUGUAACUUAUUUCAUAUCAUCUACACUUUCCAAUAAGCCCUUACUCUAUUAGAUUGCUUCCUGGAAGAGCCAAAUAUUAAAAAUCACCGGUCAGUCGGUUUCUUUAUUCUGUUAGUCACCAAACUGAUUUUUUAAGCUCAGAACCAAUAAAGCUGUGAUGGUGAAGAACAGAUAUAGAUUUCUCUUUCCCACACACUCAUAUAUAAUAAUAAUAAAACUUUAUUAAACAAG
rnacentral:lncRNA from 1 species